CAGGAACAAACCACAUCAAUCUUACCGUUUACAUUGGACUGAUUAGUGCCAACCUACAUGUUUAUGUCAGAAUACACACGUAUGUUUGCAUUAUCGCACUUGUCCAACUGCAUGUGAUUUAAGGUUACUGCACAUCGACAGUGUAGUGUUAGCGUGCACAUACUGAGAUUAUAAGUUUGGCUGGUAGACAGAAGAUACCAUUCAAAUGAAUGGUCAAUUGGCCGAUGCACAGUAUCUGUAUGCUCGGGCUUGGGUUUCCCAAAAACAUCAUCCACCGCAACAUUGACGACCUUUAGAUCAAAACAAGCAAAGGCAAUGAACAUAAUGAUUGUAAACCUGUUCCUCAUUAACAAAUACUCAAGAUUUAUCCAGAGGCACCAUGUGUUGGCCCUGCUUGUUAUGUACAAGCACUGUGUGAAUUCAGAUGGGAGGACAGGCAGCAGCUCGCUACACUUUUGUUCACGCCAUGCGUUUGUGAAACCAGGCCCGGUGAGUCUCAGCAGGCCUCCUUGGCUUGGCUUGGCAUCUUGCACAUCAUCAGGAUCUGCUUCAAGGCUUUCUGGACAUCCUCGUCCAUCUGACCCUGAAGGCACAUGCCACAGGUUCAGUUAAAUAACUAAAAUUACAGGGAUUUGACUGGCCAUUUUUUCACAUCUGGUGGUAUCUACUCACACGGGCAUUUUUGGGUUGAUUUGUCCAGAUUUAAGAUUUUUGUCUACGAUUUCUACCUCCACUCCACUACAAUGGGGAAUAGAAUUGUAAAAUUACAGUGUCCCCAUAAAUGGAACUACUUUGUACCAAAGAAAUAAUCCCUUAUGUUGUGGAAAGUCAUUUUUCAGUCUUGUGAGUGCCCCAAAACACAAUUCCAUGUACUUCUAUAGUAUUGGGAAUAUAUCAAAUAAACACCAUAACAAUCUGCAUGACUAGAUAACACAACUAGUAAGUGAGAAUUUUUUUUUCAUAAUUUGGGCAAAUCAGUCCGUUAAAAUUUAAGGUGAAAACUUAAGCUGCAAGCUUUGGGUAAACUAAUGGAGGGGUUUACCUGGACAGCAUAGAGGAGGUGCAUCCUGUAGACUGACACGAUCUCAUUGUGCUGCUUCUUUGACUCCUACAAAGAAAACAAGAGGUAAAUACUAAAGGUAGUGUUCAAGAAUCACAUUUGAGUAUUCAAAGUACAAUGCACUCUCUUGUGAACAAUCUAAAAAAUAAAAAACAGUUAAAUAAAUCUUACAGCGAGCUGGUACUGGAGUUGUUUGAUUUGUUGCUGCAUCGUCUCCAGCUGCUGGUUUUGCUGCAGCCUCUUGGAGGGAGAGCCAGAGCUGUAGGAGAGCUGUGAUAGGCUGUUUAAGGCGUCUUUCAGCUUCCCCACCUCUCGUGACAGGUCGUCUAUCUGAGAGGGAAAAACAGAACACUUGCAGUUAAUGAAAUAAUGAACUUUAAGGAGAUUUUCUUUGUCUAAAAAAUUAAACAAUCUAGUUAGAGUGGAUAAAUACAUGUCUCAAGUGAUCAGAUUAUUACUGACUCUCUUAUUCUUCUCUCUCUCUGAGGCAACGUGAUUCUCCACAAGCUGUUUGAGUUGACACACAGAAUCCUGAGACUCAGCCAGCCUAGAGGCUCAUCUUUCGUCUCACCUUCUGCCAUGCAUCAGCAGCCUCCAGAGCCAUCUCGUCCUGCUUCCUGAGGGCCCCCUGGAGGAGCUGCGUCAGGUGGUUCACCUCGCCCUCCAGUUGCUCUCUCGUGGUCUCAUAUUCCACACGGGAGACUGAAUCAUCUGGUGUGACGUCCUUCUCUACUGUCAGCCUUUUUGUGAAAUAGACAUGAGAACCACAUGAAGACGACUAGUGUUGGAGUAACAUAAAGCAGUUGGACUAGUGACCACAAAGUUCUGAUGCAUGGUCAACUUGAGCAGCUUACCAAUACAGGAGAAACAAUCGAAUUGAUUGCCUUUUAGCCUCCACAAGCUGGACUGUUUUUGAAUAUUUUUGUAGUGUAGUAUACAGUAUCCAAUAGUGGAGUAUACAGUAUCCAGUAGCAUAUAUGUACUUUGUUACAUUCCUCCACUGCUUUUCUAAUUGCUCACGUACCAUUUCAUGAGCCCCACCUCCACCCCAGUGUCCAGCUGUCGUCUCUAGUAAAAGCAGGAAGAGAUGUGGCAUCACAGUUUUCUUUCUCACCUGUUCUGAAGAGCCUCCACCUGCAGUGUUUUCUGGUGCAGCUGUUCCUUCAGGGCUUCUGACUGGCUUUCCAACUCUUUGAUGGCAUUUCCCAGAGAUGACAUCACCUGUGUGUGGUCCGCGAGUGCCACAGAGCUCUGUGCCUGAGCUUCCGCCUCCUGCCUCAGCAGUGAAAUCUCCUCUUGAGCAGCAGAGUACUUCUUCUCCGUCUCAGCUAGCGUCGUCUGCAGCUCCUCCACCUUGCUGUUUAGCAGCGGGACCUGUUGUUGUUGCUGCUGUUGUUCGGAGGAGGGAGAUGAGGCUGCGCUGCUCUCAGCUCGGGCCUCAGCCAGCUGUUUCUGCACAGCACUUAGCUGACUCUUUGUUUCACUGUAGGAGUGCGAGAGUUCCAGCAAGCGCCGCUGCAUCCCAGCAAUUACCUCGUUUAGCUCAGCCUUCAUUUCUUCAAAGUCUUUGGCUGCAGCUUCAACUGGCACUGUACCCCUUAGAGCCUCCUAAACAACAGGCAAUAAGUGAAAGGUUGAAUGGGUUAAAUAAAAGGAAAUAUGACACAUUACAGAGCAAAGUUAGGAUUUGACACAAAAAGUAGAAUUUAAAAAUAUCACUGUCAGACUCAUGGACAGUAAAAAAAAAAAAGGGGAGGUGGGGGAGUCAAAAUCAAUACAGCAGAAACAGACAGAAUACCUGGAGCAUCCUAAUCUCCUCCUGCGCCUCCUUGUACAGCUCUUCAAUCUGUGCAGUCCUCUGUUCUUUCUCCUUUACACUGUGUCUUUCCUCCUCUACCCUCCUCAGCGCCUCCUCCAGCUGUCUGAUUCGUUCUGCUGCUUUCUCUUGCUCGGGUCCUGAUUGGGCGAGCUGGGCCUUCAGCUGUUUUACUUCACGUUCGAGUUCGGAUGACGCGCGUCUCCGGACCUCCUGUUCCUCCAUCAGCUCACCUCCUCCCCUUCCCAUCUGCGCUCUCAGCUCCUCCACGUCCUCCACAGCUUGGUGGUAUCUCUCCUGAGUAUCUGUCAGCUUGGCCUGAAGCUCUGCUAGACUUUCCAUCAACUCUUCCUCUCUUCCUUUCUCCCGCACACUUUCAUAUUCCUCUCUUUCCCUGUCUCGCUCAGGUUUCAGCUGGGCCUGCAGCGAGCGGUUUUCCUUUCUGGUUUCUAACAGUUUCAUUUGAACGCCCUCUAGCGCCUGUCUCAACAGUCUGAUCUCCUCUUUGCUCCCUUCACUCUCUUCUUCCUCCCGUCUGACGCCUGAACCGUCUUCUCUUUCCACCUGGUUGGUGGAAGGGACUUGUGGCGGAAGUGAAUCAAACUCAUCCCUGGUGGAGUGGAAGGAGGAGUUGGAGGCCAUGCUGUUUGGACGACUGGUCUCCUUCAGGUCCUCGCUUCCUUGGAGGAACGGAUAUUUCUGUGAGGUGAAUCUUUUGGGAGUGUCACUUUUGUUGGAUGCAGGGGUCCCAGUGGAGAUAACAGUGGCAGGAGAAGAGGGUCCAGAGCUCUGAAGAAGGAUUAAGUUGAUUAGUUUUUGGAUUUGUUUUCGUCAUAACACCUUGUCAAAUGAGUAAAUUGUUUUUCUAAUCUGUUUGUACAGAAAUCUUACAGGAAGUAAGAUUCAAAAUAUUAGUCCUGUUACAACAAUUAAAUAUGUUUAUAUAAAGUACAUUUUUAAUUCCUACACUCUGGAAGACAGAAUGGUACAUUCAUUAACUGAAGACUCGCUGACAGAGAGAGCAAUAAUAUAACAGAUAAUAUGUAAACAGGCAAACACUCAUUUAAUGAAUAUACUUCAGACAUGCAUUAAUAUAAAGAGUGGCAUACUGAUCCAUGCAGACAGACACACAGAGAAACAUGCAUUUACCUGCAGUGGGCUAAUAGGAGGUGGAGGUGCUUUUCGUUUUUUGGGAGUUGUGAUCCGUUCAUCACUUAGCUUAGCUACUUGAUCAUGCUGAGGAGCCAGCAAAAGUUUGGAAGAAAAAAAAACGGAACGAGAGAAAGAGAGAAAAAGAAAGGUGGGAUUCAGUGCUGGUUAGUGAAAGGAGAGUCGAUCAAUGAGUGCUACACUAAGAUUUUUUUGUUUUCCAAAAAUAGCAACUAAAAGAUCUCUGACAAAGCUGAGAAAUUUGAUCUUGACACAUUAGAAAAGCUGACACCACUGUCCAUGAGGUUUAGCUACACAACAGAAACUUUUGUUCAUUAUUUUUAGCUCUUUGUCACUGUGAAUCACAUUUAAAUACUAAAAAGUCAUUCACAGUCAUUAAUAGUUGAUUGGUUGUUGUAAGUUCAGGUGUUUUAGAAUCUUUGACUGCCUGUUUGCGAGGAAGAAAAGUAUUGAAGAACGAGACUAGUGUCUUACCUGAGGACUUCUAGGAGACUUUGUAUCUGUCAAAGGAAACAUGAAGAACAUCACAAAUCAAAUAAAAGUGAUAAUUACAGCAUUCCUUUUUCUACUACAGGUAACAUAUCUCAUUCAUAGAGAACAGCUUUCACCAAACAUGUAAAGAGAAGUAAUACUGACGAGAGAACUCUAGAUGGCAGUGUUACCUGUGUGCUGAAACCAGAGCAGUAUGAAUCUCUACCACACAGAGGCCAUACAUUUAUGUGUGUGUGUGUGUGUGUGUGUGUGUGUGCACGCAUCACUCUUACCUGAGACCUGUUGUCUCUUCAGGGCAGCAGUGAGGGCAGCUUUGAUGUCAGAGUUGGCCGCGUACUGUGCGACAUCGUGGCCUUGUGAAUCUACAGCCGACAGAUCUGCUCCUCGCUGAACCAAGACUUCAACAACAGAAACGCUGUUGGACUCGCUGGCCAGCAUCAAGGCUGUCCUGCGACACGGAAAAGUACAAAACUUGAUCAUCGACGCAACAUCUAUCCAUCAUCGAAGAAUAUAUGUGUUUUUAAUCAGU